CAAUUGUACAACUUUUAGAACAUUUAAUAGAAACUCAGACUCAUGUAGCUGGGACAGAGAUCGUCUGCGUCAGUUCUCUGCUUUACUCCUUUAAAGAGAGAGAGAGAGAGAGUGAGCUGUACCUGCCUCCCUGAGUCAAG
rnacentral:lncRNA from 1 species